rnacentral:rRNA from 1 species
GCGGCGUGCUUCAUACAUGCAAGUCGAACGAGAAGCAGGAGCUUGCUCCUGUGGAAAGUGGCGGACGGGUGAGUAACACGUAGGAAAUCUGCCUUUGGGUGGUGGACAACAGUUGGAAACGACUGCUAAUACCCCAUAUGAGCUUGGUUGCAAUACCAAUCUUGAAAACUCCGGUGCCUAAAGAUGAGCCUGCGUCUGAUUAGCUUGUUGGCGGGGUAAUGGCCCACCAAGGCGACGAUCAGUAGCUGGUUUGAGAGGAUGAUCAGCCACAAUGGGACUGAGACACGGCCCAUACUCCUACGGGAGGCAGCAGUAGGGAAUUUUGUGCAAUGGGGGAAACCCUGACGCAGCAACGCCGCGUGAAUGACGAAGCCCUUCGGGGUGUAAAGUUCUGUCAGUAGGGAAGAAUUUUGACUGUACCUACAAAGGAAGCACCGGCUAACUCCGUGCCAGCCGCCGCGGUAA